GUACAGGAACACUUAACUCAUCUGUCUGAAGGAACUGACUUAAGUGGAUUUUCAGUCCAAGAGAAAACAUCUGUUUAUUAAUCCAGAAGUAAAGUGGCUAGUUUGCAGAAGAAAGUAUGGCCAGCUUUUAUGAUGACUUUGACGCACCAUUUGAAUCCCGUUUGGAGCGUGACAUAAAGAGAGGUAGGAGGACAUACAUCAUGUACCAUGGUACCACCCUGACAGCUGCAUAUAAUAUUCAAAAACACGGAUUUCGGCCAUCCAUCGAUGGCAUGCUUGGACCUGGAGUCUAUGUCAGUCGGAGCUUUCGGAAGGCCAGAGUCUACCCAAAAAAUCUACCCUACAAUGAGCAGCGAGCUGUACUCAAGCUGAGGAUUCGAGUAGGAAAAGUAAAGAAGAUCGACCGGCAGGGACACCCCCUCCAAAAAUCCUGGCAUGACAUUGGAUAUGACACAGCCUGGGUGCCCCCCAACUGUGGAAUGGUUCCUAGUGGUUUGGAGGAAGAUUGUGUUUCGGAUCCCAGCAGGAUUGAAGUUUUAGAGAUAAUCCCAGUAUAGUUCUUUAUAAUCUUCUCUUGUGGAACACAAAUGUCAUUUUGGAAUUGUUGAUAUAAUUGUUUUACUCAUCUUUAUUCUCGGUCACUUCCUUCUUUUUAAGAGUUUAGGGAAUGCAUUGUUCUUUAAAACUCAGUACAUAAAUGUUUAUUUUGAUCAAAUACAAUAAUCUUCUAUGGAGGUUGGUUUCUUUAGUAAGAUGCUGUUGAUCUUUGAUUAAUCAUAGGAAAAAUCCAUACAAGUAUUACAGCAUCCAGUUUUAUUCAAUUAUAUGGAUGGAUGGAUGAAAAUGGAAUAUAUGUUUGAAUGUAGGAAGACAAUAAUAAAAAACACAAUAUGAACGA